CCAAAAGAGGGACUCCUCUUCUACACUCAAAAAACCUGAGUCGUCCCCUUAAUCUCAUCCCUCACCUCGCGAUUCACAGACCUCACUCCCACACUCUCCUCUCCUCUCAUACACAGAAACUCACAAUUAAAAAUAGCUGAAAAUUUUUGGUUUCAAACUUUGGAUUUCAGAUCUGGAAAAAUACAAAAAAAGAAAAAAGAAAACAGAUUAGAAAGGGAAAUUAUGAAGCUCUUGUUUCUGUCAAACUUCAGUUCCUCUACUUGUUAGUUUUGGGGUUCUUGAGUUUAAGUUGUUGAAGGUUGAUUUUGCCGUGGACUGCUUCCGUUGUUGUUGCUGUCUUGCUGAUCUUCAUUUGGCCCUUUUGUCUAGCCUUUAUUUAGCGUUUCUAGCCAAUUCCUAAGCGAUUAGGAGUAGGAGCAUGGAGUCAAAGGAAAUAGGCGAGUGCAAAAGCGAGCAGACGGUUGAAACUGAGUGUGAGAUACCCGCACGAGGGAUCAUACCUGGGAGAAAUCUGAGUAUCCCGUGAGCUGCGAAUACUUCGGACUUUGGCCUACCAGGGAGUCUCUUUUACCUUCUUGUUAUUUAUAGUGUGCAUUGAGGACAUUGCACAAUUUUAAGUGUGGGAUGAUGAGAUUGUCUGGGUGAUUUUAUGUUCUAUCUUAGCUGAGUUGUAGUACUCGUUCUUAGUGUAGUAGUUUUUGUUAAAAGAAAAAAAGAAAAAAAAUGAAAAUUUGAAAACAAAAUCAAAAUUGUUUCACCUUUCCCGACGAUGAAUUUUGUGGAUAGCUUUCUGGAGGGAUUAAGGUCCAAUAAAAAAAUACAAAAAGAUUUUAUUUUUGUUCUAGUUAGUUUUAGUUAGGUAAUAAUCCCCCUUAAUUUUUCUUUGUGCAUCGGUUCUUUUCCAGGGGAUGUAACUUGAAUCGGGUAAACUUUUUUAUUUUUGGGAUUAGAUUUUUUUUUAGUAGAAGAAAAAAAGGAAGAAGAAAACCUUUGUGAGUUAUUUGAUACUAGCAUAUUUAGGCGUGAGUAGUACUUUCCUCUGAGUGCUUGGGUAAUGAAUAAAAUAGCAAACUUUCUGACACCUAAGCUCAGAUUUGUGACACUGUAUAUACCUUAUUCUUAUUUUGUCGUUCGCUAUGAUCCUGUCUGUCUUAGAGUAGAAUUGAUCCAUCUUGAUUGAUACUUGUGCCAUGUGGGGUGAGGAUUUCUUACAUAUAUUUUAUGUUUUGCAUCUUAGUCUAGAACUUGCCCUGAAUGUUAUUGAAGCGAAUUAAAAGUGUUGCUCUGUUUAGAAGAUGAUAAUAGGCUUUCUUUGAUUAUGUCUUGUGAAUUUUAGCCUUUUCAAAUAUUGUACCACUAGUUAGCUCGUUGAGCCCGUAGCCUUUUGUUUGGAAGCCGUAUUUUUGCCUUGAUCCUUUUGUUGAAUCCCUAGUUUUUGCACCCUGUUUCUUUGAGCAUUAUUGUUUAGACUGUGAUAUUAAUUGAUAAAUUUGAAAGAGAUGAUUAAGUAAAAAAUGGUGACCAAUGAUAGCUGAAUAGUGAUGAAAAGGCCCUCUUGAAAAGAAUGUGAUAUGAAAAAAAGAGAAAAGAAAAAUUUCUUAAAAAAAUAAAACGUUCUUGAUAUAAGGGAAAUACUUGUAAAACAAUGGAUGAAGAGAUGUCUGAAAAAUAAAGUGAAGAGUAGAAAAUAAUUGGUGAUGAAGUCU